rnacentral:rRNA from 1 species
ACGAACGCUGGCGGCACGCUUAACACAUGCAAGUCGAACGAGAGAAGAGGAGCUUGCUUUUCUGAUCUAGUGGCGGACGGGUGAGUAACACGUGAGCAAUCUGCCUUUCAGAGGGGGAUACCGAUUGGAAACGAUCGUUAAUACCGCAUAACAUAAUUGAACCGCAUGAUUUGAUUAUCAAAGAUUUAUCGCUGAAAGAUGAGCUCGCGUCUGAUUAGCUAGUUGGUAAGGUAACGGCUUACCAAGGCGACGAUCAGUAGCCGGACUGAGAGGUUGAUCGGCCACAUUGGGACUGAGACACGGCCCAGACUCCUACGGGAGGCAGCAGUGGGGAAUAUUGCACAAUGGAGGAAACUCUGAUGCAGCGAUGCCGCGUGAGGGAAGAAGGUUUUAGGAUUGUAAACCUCUGUCUUCAGGGACGAAAAAAGACGGUACCUGAGGAGGAAGCUCCGGCUAACUACGUGCCAGCAGCCGCGGUAAUACGUAGGGAGCGAGCGUUGUCCGGAAUUACUGGGUGUAAAGGGAACGUAGGCGGGAUCGCAAGUCAGAUGUGAAAACUAUGGGCUUAACCCAUAAACUGCAUUUGAAACUGUGGUUCUUGAGUGAAGUAGAGGUAAGCGGAAUUCCUAGUGUAGCGGUGAAAUGCGUAGAUAUUAGGAGGAACAUCAGUGGCGAAGGCGGCUUACUGGGCUUUAACUGACGCUGAGGCUCUAAAGCGUGGGGAGCAAACAGGAUUAGAUACCCUGGUAGUCCACGCCGUAAACGAUGAUUACUAGGUGUGGGGGGACUGACCCCUUCCGUGCCGCAGCAAACGCAAUAAGUAAUCCACCUGGGGAGUACGACCGCAAGGUUGAAACUCAAAGGAAUUGACGGGGGCCCGCACAAGCAGUGGAGUAUGUGGAUUAAUUCGAAGCAACGCGAAGAACCUUACCAGGUCUUGACAUCGUAUGCAUAGCUCAGAGAUGAGUGAAAUCUCUUCGGAGACAUAUAGACAGGUGGUGCAUGGUUGUCGUCAGCUCGUGUCGUGAGAUGUUGGGUUAAGUCCCGCAACGAGCGCAACCCUUACUGUUAGUUGCUACGCAAGAGCACUCUAGCAGGACUGCCGUUGACAAAACGGAGGAAGGUGGGGAUGACGUCAAAUCAUCAUGCCCCUUAUGACCUGGGCCUCACACGUACUACAAUGGCUGUCAACAGAGGGAAGCAAAGCCGCGAGGUGGAGCAAACCCCUAAAAGCAGUCUUAGUUCGGAUUGUAGGCUGCAACCCGCCUACAUGAAGUCGGAAUUGCUAGUAAUCGCAGAUCAGCAUGCUGCGGUGAAUACGUUCCCGGGCCUUGUACACACCGCCCGUCACGCCAUGGGAGUCGGUAACACCCGAAGCCUGUAGUCUAACCGCAAGGAGGACGCAGUCGAAGGUGGGAUUGAUGACUGGGGUG